AAAGACUUAAGUUAAAAAAACUAAAAGCCUUCAAAGCUUUUUUUACCUAAAGGUAGUCUUUA
rnacentral:tRNA from 1 species